UUCCCGCUGUCGAUCGCCAUUGGCGCCAAUUGCGACAAAAUAAAAAAUCUGGCGACAAAAUUUCGUAAAUGGCGAUUUUAAAAAAAUCGGCAUUUUUCUGCGUUCAUAUUUUCUUAAAAUGACAAAAGACGCUGUGUUUACCAGCCGCUUUACGGCAGUCGUAAUACUAUAGAUUUCCAUGGUGUAAGCGAUACAGCUGUAAUCAAUGGAGCGUGGUGCUGACUGCCGACUACCGCAAAGUGGAAUGUUAUGGUGAUAAUUGCGUUGCGUUUUUGACCCCUAAUGACCCAUAUUCGAACUUGACCUAAACUUCUGACCAACUUUGGUGAAGAUCGGAUAAAAACUUCUUGAAUUAGAGAGCGGACACCAUGCUAAAUGUUUAAAUGUUGUUGCAAGUUAUCUUAAUUGGUCGGCAGUUUUAUUGCUUCAGAGAUAAGGCAAUAUUGAAAUAUACCGACUUUGCGCUUAAAUGUGAAGUGUUUGUCACAGUGUUCGAAGCAGAUUCAAGACCGUUAAAUUGACAACAAUGACAAUCAAAAAGAAUACCACAAAGCUUCUGAAGCACCAAAACUGUGGCAACAUAUUCAGGCUGCUAAGAAGGUGUCAAUCAACAAGAGUUACAACUGAUUGAAUGUGCCUUUAUUUAAUUAACAAUGUUAAAUGUGUUGUUAUUAUUAAUACUACUGUUAUUAAAUCGAUUCCUUUAACAUA